UCAAGUUCAAGUUCCUGAUACCAAAUUAACGGUCUGAAGCGUAUUUUCCAUUUGUACACUGCAUUCGCAUGGCCAGUGUGUGAUACAGAGCCCAAGUGGAGCACCUGCUUGCAAAACAUAAUAAACAAUCAAGGUUAGCUCUCUUAGUGUGCGCCUUUGCCUCAGGUGCUGCGUGGUCAUAUUUUAAAAAUCCUGAUUAGUGUGAUGAAAGAGAGUUAAUCAUUCUAUAAUACAGGGUCAUCCCUUUGCCUGGAUUUCUUUCCAGGUUUUGUCUUUGCAAAUCAAGAAAAGCUAAAUGAUAGACUGAUAGCAUCAUAACCAAGAGUUACUAAUACAUUAAAAGGGCUAUUCCCGUAGAGUACAGCACUGGUAACAUUAAAUCCUGUUUAAUUCACAUUCAAUCUACUACUAAAAUAAAAGAAGAACACAACAACCUAGAUAACGCCUAAUAACUCUAAUUCUUGAGACUAUAUUGAUAACAGAGGAAAAUCACCCACUAUAUCAUACCACUACUACUG